GGCCUCGUAGCUCAGCUGGUAGAGCAUGCGCGUACAAAGCGUAGGCGGCGACCAUGCGUGGGUUCGAAUCCCACCGAGGCUA
rfam:Echinostoma caproni strain Egypt genome assembly, scaffold: ECPE_scaffold0019601